ACGACGACUAUGAGCUAGAAUCCAGCUCGUGGACUGUCAGUGAUGCAGCCAUGGCAACCCUGGACCACUGACGUCACCAAUCGGGUGGGAGGAUGCGGUCUGUGAUUGGGUGAGAGAGCUGUCAGUCAGCCCAGUGAUGCAUGAUGGUCAUCGUGUGUGUGUGGACUGAUUGACGCGUUUCAUUCUCCUGAUACGUCACUUCCUGGUUGUGUGUGACGUCUAGCUCCUCCCUGUGGUUGCUAGGCUACAGCUGUCCAGAUGUGCUGGGGAGGAGAGAGUUCCCUAUCCGACCGGGACGACCAAACACACAGGCUGCUGGGAAAGAGGGACCUCUGAACAUCCUGUCCUCAAUCAAGUACACCAGGUGUGAGCUGCAGCCUCGAGCUAGCCGUAUCCCCAUCAGGAGGGCGGAGUCAACCACAGACACGCCCACUGCUGGCCUUAACCCCGCCUCCUCUGGCAGCUGGGAGGAGUCAACUACCAUGAGGGUCUGGAGACUCUUGAAACCUGGAUACCCCCUAACCCUAGGUGUGUCGGAGAAGGAGGUUCCUUCGUUGCGUGUUGUUUCCAGAGCGCUGCUGAAGAACACGGACAGGAGAUCCCUCUAUACACAUUCCACCACAGAGCCCCAAGUAACCACCACACAGACUCCCCACAGAGCCCCAAGUAACCACCACACAGACUCCCCACAGAGCCCCAAGUAACCACCACACAGACUCCCCACAGAGCCCCAAGUAACCACCACACAGACUCACCACAGAGCCCCAAGUAACCACCACACAGACUCCCCACAGAGACUCAUCACAGAGCCCCAAGUAACCACCACACAGACUCCCCACAGAGCCCCAAGUAACCACCACACAGACUCACCACAGAGACUCACCACAGAGACUCACCACAGAGCCCCAAGUAACCACCACACAGACUCACCACAGAGACCCAAGUAACCACCACACAGACUCACCACAGAGACUCACCACAGAGACUCACCACAGAGCCCCAAGUAACCACCACACAGACUCACCACAGAGACUCACCACAGAGACUCACCACAGAGCCCCAAGUAACCACCACACAGACUCCCCACAGAGCCCCAAGUAACCACCACACAGACUCACCACAGAGCCCCAAGUAACCACCACACAGACUCCCCACAGAGCCCCAAGUAACCACCACACAGACUCCCCACAGAGCCCCAAGUAACCACCACACAGACUCACCACAGACUCUCACCACAGACUCACCACAGACUCCCCACAGAGACUCAUCACAGAGCCCCAAGUAACCACCACACAGACUCACCACAGAGACUCACCACAGAGCCCCAAGUAACCACCACACAGACUCCCCACAGAGCCCCAAGUAACCACCACACAGACUCCCCACAGAGCCCCAAGUAACCACCACACAGACUCACCACAGACUCUCACCACAGACUCACCACAGACUCCCCACAGAGACUCAUCACAGAGCCCCAAGUAACCACCACACAGACUCACCACAGAGACUCACCACAGAGCCCCAAGUAACCACCACACAGACUCACCACAGAGCCCCAAGUAACCACCACACAGACUCACCACAGAGCCCCAAGUAACCACCACACAGACUCCCCACAGAGCCCCAAGUAACCACCACACAGACUCCCCACAGACUCUCACUACAGACUCCCCACAGAGCCUCACCACAGAGCCCCAAGUAACCACCACACAGACUCCCCACAGAGCCCCAAGUAACCACCACACAGACUCCCCACAGACUC
rnacentral:lncRNA from 1 species